rnacentral:rRNA from 1 species
CCCCCAAGAGUUCACAUCGACGGGGAGGUUUGGCACCUCGAUGUCGGCUCAUCGCAUCCUGGGGCUGUAGUCGGUCCCAAGGGUUGGGCUGUUCGCCCAUUAAAGCGGUACGCGAGCUGGGUUCAGAACGUCGUGAGACAGUUCGGUCCCUAUCCGUCGUGGGCGUAGGAAAUUUGAGAGGAGCUGUCCUUAGUACGAGAGGACCGGGAUGGACAUACCUCUGGUGUACCAGUUGUCGUGCCAACGGCAUAGCUGGGUAGCUAUGUGUGGACGGGAUAAGUGCUGAAAGCAUCUAAGCAUGAAGCCCCCCUCAAGAUGAGAUUUCCCAACUUCGGUUAUAAGAUCCCUCAAAGAUGAUGAGGUUAAUAGGUUCGAGGUGGAAGCAUGGUGACAUGUGGAGCUGACGAAUACUAAUCGAUCGAAGACUUAAUCAAAA